CUUCCUAGAUUAGAAAAUACUAUUUUUAUUUUUGAUCCUUCGUGGUUUUCAUAUAUUUUUUCAUCUAUUAUAAAUUCCUCUUUGUUCAUUUUAUUGUGAAUAGUUCAUGUUGAUAUAUAUAUUCUAAACUAUCUAUUUGUGAUUCUAAUUUUGAUAUUUCAUAUUUUUGUGUAUUUAUUGAGUUUUCACUCACUCCGGCAAAUAU
rnacentral:lncRNA from 1 species